GCUUAGGUUUAGAUCCUACCUCUAGUCUCCGCCGCCGCUUCGACACCAUGCACCCCCGGGGAGAGAUCGAUCUCCAGUGUGGACAAUGCCAUCAUUUAGGCACCUGAUCCUAUUGAUCAGGCUAUCAUCAUCAUUGUCGUGCAGCAGAUCAAGAUCUUUCCUACGGCAUCCUCGGGCUGCUGCCACCUCUUCCCUGAGCUCAUCGCUGGCUGUCUUCAUCAACACCUUAUCUUCGUCACAUGGAGGUAGAUGGAUCUUGCCCUGUCCCAUGUCGCAUAGUGGCAGCCAGGCCAGGCCACAUGCCCCGACCCAGUGCUGCCAUGGAGGCAACCAGAUCUAGUGCGUAGCCGCUGCCAAGCGGAUCUACCCAUCUCCACCACAUCGAUUCAUGUUGGCGCCUUCGACCCUACAUGUCUGUGACCUGACGUGCGCCUUGUGCCACCUGAUCAGGCCAUGCCGCAACUACCGUGCUAUGUUGCUGGCUCAUUGACCUUGCAUGUACUACUCCGGCAUCAGUAUCAACUGGGCUAUCGGCUGCCCCGUCAUGCCAUUGGUUGUGCUUAACGGCUAGGCCAUCGGCUGUCCCCACAAGGUUGCACGAUCCAUUGGCUUGUCAUCGACACCAUCGGCGAGUACUACACGCAUCUUCUUCGAGCAACAGGGAAACUGUUGUGUCGCCUCAUCAGGCCGCAUCACCACCAUUCGUGUGUUCGCUUCGCCAUUGUAUCUACAUCGCCGUCACCUAUGGAUUGAUGAUUGUGCUACGCAAUCCCUACUAUGUCAUUUGUCUGCACCA